rnacentral:rRNA from 1 species
AGAGUUUGAUCCUGGCUCAGGACGAACGCUGGCGGCGUGCUUAACACAUGCAAGUCGAACGGUGACGCACCUUCGGGUGCUGAUCAGUGGCGAACGGGUGAGUAACACGUGGGCAACCUGCCCCUGACUCUGGGAUAACUCCUCGAAAGAGGUGCUAAUACCGGAUACCAUCCCCCUCGACAUCGUGGGGGGUUGAAAGUUUUUCGGUCAGGGAUGGGCCCGCGGCCUAUCAGCUAGUUGGUGGGGUAACGGCCCACCAAGGCGACGACGGGUAGCCGGCCUGAGAGGGCGACCGGCCACACUGGGACUGAGACACGGCCCAGACUCCUACGGGAGGCAGCAGUGGGGAAUAUUGCGCAAUGGGCGAAAGCCUGACGCAGCAACGCCGCGUGAGGGAUGACGGCCUUCGGGUUGUAAACCUCUUUCAGCAGGGACGAAGCGAAAGUGACUGUACCUGCAGAAGAAGCGCCGGCUAACUACGUGCCAGCAGCCGCGGUA